GGAAGGGAGUGAAUAAGGGAGAGUAAGGAGAUGUAAGGUAUGAACAGGUAUAUGAGGAAGGGAGUGAAUAAGGGAGAGUAAGGAGAUGUAAGGUAUGAACAGGUAUAUGAGGAAGGAGUGA